rnacentral:rRNA from 1 species
AAUGAACGUUGGCGGCAUGGAUUAGGCAUGCAAGUCGGGGGAAUCCCAGCAAUGGGGGAACCGGCGUAAGGGGCAGUAAGGCAUGGGUACCUACCUUGGGGUUCGGGAUAGCCAUCAGAGAUGGUGGGUAAUACCGGAUGACGUCGUGAGACCAAAGAUUUAUCGCCCUUAGAGGGGCCUAUGUGAUAUUAGCUAGUUGGUGGGGUAACGGCCCACCAAGGCGAAGAUGUCUAGCAGGUGUGAGAGCACGACCCGCGCCACUCGCACUGAGACACUGGCGAAACACCUACGGGUGGCUGCAGUCGAGGAUCUUCGGCAAUGAGCGCAAGCUUGACCGAGCGAUGCCGCGUGAGCGAUGAAGGCCUUCGGGUUGUAAAGCUCUUUAGUGGGGGAGAAAAGCCGCAAGGUGUGAUCUAUCCCAAAAAUAAGCACGGGCUAAGUUCGUGCCAGCCGCCGCGGUAA